UUGAUGCCCAUGUAGCAAUGCAGACCUA
rnacentral:piRNA from 1 species